rnacentral:rRNA from 1 species
UACGGGGGGGGCAAGCGUUGUUCGGAAUUACUGGGCGUAAAGGGCUCGUAGGUGGCCAACUAAGUCAGACGUGAAAUCCCCAGGCUUAACCUGGGAACUGCGUCUGAUACUGGAUGGCUUGAAUUCGGGAGAGGGAUGCAGAAUUCCAGGUGUAGCGGUGAAAUGCGUAGAUAUCGGAAGGAACAUCAGUGGCGAAAGCGGCUUCCUGGACCAGCACCGACGUUCAGGCACGAAAGCGUGGGGAGCAAACAGG